UAUCGCGCUCCCCGCUUCGAA
rnacentral:piRNA from 1 species